CUCCGUGGCAUGCGGGAUCCUCCCAGACCGGGGCACGAACCUUCGUCCCUUGCAUCGGCAGGCCGACUCUCAACCACUGCACCACCAGGGAAGCCCCACAGCUGUUAUCUUUACCUGAUGUGAUUAAGGGAAUUUUUUUCCUUUGUGUUUUCUAAGUUUUCUUCAUUGAGCACAAAGUGCUUUUGUAAUUACACAAGGUCCCAAAGAAUCUUAUAGUAAAAAUAAUACAUAGUCAUAGAUGAUUAGGAAAAUGCAGAAAGUCAUUAAAUGCCAAAUACCUGUAAUCCUAUCACCAUUGACCUUUUGAAAAUGCACGUGUUUUGAAAAAGUUCUUUAUCUUGGAACAAAGACAAAGAGACUACUUUGGCUGCCUCCUAACCCUCUAUCAGACUGUCUGUUGGGUGUGGAGACAGCUCUCACCUUCACAAUGUUACCUGGAGCCAGGAAACUGGGAAUAAGUGGGCAAGGAGAAUGUUGAGCCUCUUGAGGAUUUGAAAUAAGAGCAUGAAGUUUGCUUUCAAGUAUUUCCAUUUGAAAACUUUAGAAGCUUUUAGAGCAAGCUUAUGGGAACAAGACACAGGAGGCAUGAGAAACAGCCACUCUCUGUGUCGAGGAGUAUGGGAAGACUGUGAGGGACACAGAUUCUUGCUCCCAUGUAGAUCGUGAGACCUGAAGUAACUUCCAGGGAAGUGGCUUUCAGAAUCUUUCCUUCUUGUGAUUAGCUUUAACUGCAGGUAAUCAUUAUCUGUGAGGUAAUGUUUGGGAAUUAUUGACUUGGAAGUCCUGUACUCUUAAAUAAUUGUCUGCUAUUUUUUUCUUUUUUAAAAUAUUUAUUUAUUUAUUUGGCUGCACCGGGUCUUGGUUGUGGCAUGCGGGAUCUUCGUUGCCACUUGCGGGAUCUGCAGGAUCUUCAGGAUCUUUGUUGAGGCACGUGGGAUCUUUUAGUCGCAGCAUGUGGGAUCUAGUCCCCUGACCAGGGAUUGAACCCAUGCCCCCUGCUUUGGGAACGCAGAGUCUUAACCAGUGGACCACCAGGGAAGUCCCUAAUUGUCUGCUCUUAAUGGGCUCCUGGUAUUAUGUGCCAGGCACGGUGCCUAGUGCUUCAAGUAUGUUAUCUCAUUUAAUACAGGGAAUAUUCCUAUAAAGUGGGAAUAUAAUUAUCCUCCAAAAGGACAGAAAUGCAGAGUAAGUAACUUGUCUAAGGUUAUGUAACUAAUGAAUUGUUGAUCCAGGCUUGAAACCCACUAAGUAAGAGAGCAGAGCCUGUGCAACUCUCCUACCACUCCAGAGAGCACCUUGAAGUUUCAUUGCGAACAUGUCAUCUUUUGGGUGAAUGCUUGUCGAUAGUAGGCACCUUUAAAAAUGCACAGGAGUUCCAAUAAGUGUGUGUGUGUGACAAAGUAAUGUAUUUAAAUCGGAGAUACCUAUCAGUAAUUAAAUCGGUUUAAGUAAUUUUUCAGCUCAGUCUCUUUUCCCCAAGCACAUUGGACUUUGGCACCUCCAACAGUCAAGGGGCUUGAGGUAGGUGAUAAUAGUGGAAUUUUUAAAAACUUUCUUAUGGAAGUAUAAAACACAUACAAAAAAGUAUACCCAUCAGAAGUGUACAGUUCUUAAGAAUUUUCACAAACAGAUCCAAAUAACCAGUAACCAGGUCAAGAAACAGAAUAUUACCAGCACUCCAGAAGCAAGUCAUGGGCCCUGCCCCAUGUCUGUCCCCUCUCUCCUCUCCAGAGGUAACCUCUAUCCUGACUUCAAACACCAUGGAUUGGUGUAGUUUGUUUUGAAGUUCAUAUAAAUAGAAUCAUGUAGGUUGGA